rnacentral:rRNA from 1 species
UAGGGAAUCUUCCGCAAUGGACGCAAGUCUGACGGAGCAACGCCGCGUGAGUGAAGAAGGAUUUCGGUUCGUAAAACUCUGUUGUUAGAGAAGAACAGCGCAUAGAGUAACUGUUAUGCGUGUGACGGUAUCUAACCAGAAAGCCACGGCUAACUACGUGCCAGCAGCCGCGGUAAUACGUAGGUGGCAAGCGUUGUCCGGAAUUAUUGGGCGUAAAGCGCGCGUAGGCGGUUUUUUAAGUCUGAUGUGAAAGCCCACGGCUCAACCGUGGAGGGUCAUUGGAAACUGGAAAACUUGAGUGCAGAAGAGGAAAGUGGAAUUCCAUGUGUAGCGGUGAAAUGCGUAGAUAUAUGGAGGAACACCAGUGGCGAAGGCGACUCUCUGGUCUGUAACUGACGCUGAGGUUCGAAAGCGUGGGUAGCAAACAGG